rnacentral:rRNA from 1 species
GACGAACGCUGGCGGCGUGCUUAACACAUGCAAGUCGAACGGAAAGGCCCUGCUUUUGUGGGGUGCUCGAGUGGCGAACGGGUGAGUAACACGUGAGUAACCUGCCCUUGACUUUGGGAUAACUUCAGGAAACUGGGGCUAAUACCGGAUAGGAGCUCCUGCUGCAUGGUGGGGGUUGGAAAGUUUCGGCGGUUGGGGAUGGACUCGCGGCUUAUCAGCUUGUUGGUGGGGUAGUGGCUUACCAAGGCUUUGACGGGUAGCCGGCCUGAGAGGGUGACCGGCCACAUUGGUCCUGCGGUACGGACCAGACUCCUACGGGAGGCAGCAGUGGGGAGUAUUGCACAAUGGGCGGAAGCCUGAUGCGGCGACGCCGCGUGCGGGAUGACGGCCUUCGGGUUGUAAACCGCUUUCGCCUGUGACGAAGCGUGAGUGACGGUAAUGGGUAAAGAAGCACCGGCUAACUACGUG